AAUCAUACAUGAUGAUCUCACCUCAAUUUGACCUCUCUCACUGAUUAUCUGAUGAUGAGAAAGAUCUGAUAUUCUA
rnacentral:snoRNA from 1 species